GACGAACGCUGGCGGCGUGCCUAACACAUGCAAGUCGAACGGAGUGGGGAGCGGGUGUGUAACACGUGGGGAGCCGCCUUGCACUGCGGGAUGAGCGUGGGAAACCGGGUAUAAUACAGGCUAGUGUGGGUUGGGCUAGCGGCCGAUCAGCUUGUUGGUGGGGUAAUGGCCUACCAAGGCGGCGACGGGUACCCGGCCGGAGAGGAUGGACGGCCACAUUGGAACUGAGACACGGCCCAGACUCCUACGGGAGGCAGCAGUGGGGAAUAUUGGACAAUGGGCGAAAGCCUGAUCCAGCCAUGCCGCGUGUGUGAAGAAGGUCUUCGGAUUGUAAAGCACUUUAAGUUGGGAGGCGUUACCAACAGAAUAAGCACCGGCUAACUUCGUGCCAGCAGCCGCGGUAAUAC
rnacentral:rRNA from 1 species